UAUUGGACAAUGGGGCGAAAGCCUGAUCCCAGCAAUGCCGCGUGAGUGAUGAAGCCCCUUUAGGCCUUGUAAAGCUCUUUUACCCGGGAUGAUAAUGACAGUACCGGGAGAAUAAGCUCCCGGCUAACUCCGUGCCAGCAGCCGCGGUAAUACGGAGGGAGCUAGCGUUGUUCGGAAUUACUGGGCGUAAAGCGCACGUAGGCGGCUUUGUAAGUUAGAGGUGAAAGCCUGGAGCUCAACUCCAGAAUUGCCUUUAAGACUGCAUCGCUUGAAUCCAGGAGAGGUGAGUGGAAUUCCGAGUGUAGAGGUGAAAUUCGUAGAUAUUCGGAAGAACACCAGUGGCGAAGGCGGCUCACUGGACUGUAUUGACGCUGAGGUGCGAAA
rnacentral:rRNA from 1 species